rnacentral:rRNA from 1 species
AGUGAGUCUGACGAGCACGCCGCGUGAGUGAAGAAGGUUUUCGGAUCGUAAAACUCUGUUGGUAGAGAAGAACGUUGGUGAGAGUGGAAAGCUCAUCAAGUGACGGUAACUACCCAGAAAGGGACGGCUAACUACGUGCCAGCAGCCGCGGUAAUUGA